rnacentral:lncRNA from 1 species
CACUUAAUAAUAAUAUUGCUCAUUAUAUAUAAUUAACUGGAAUAAACAAGUACACUAAUUAAUAACACACAUAAAACUUCUUACAUGAAAUACAUAUGCAUUCGAUCACCCGAAAGACAAGAGAGAGUUAUUAACUGCCUUCACCUUACAUAGAAAGCCGUCUUAUUUAAAUAAAACAUGGCAAGGAUAUAUAUAUAUAUAUAUUUCAACCUAAGCAAAUGCAAAGGUUUCCCUGAGAGCCAGUUGUGCAAGAUGCACUCAUAAAUUUUGCGUGCAGAAUUUUCUUGCAUUGAGCAAUGCACUCAGGAAGUGUGCAGGGAUUGAGUGGGACAGCAAAUGCACACUCCACAGGCUGUGGCUCCAAAACUAACAUGACAAUCAUUGUGAUCAUCAAGAUCAGAGCCAAUUCCUUAGCAAAAUUUAUGGCGGCCAUG